GUGUCAGCCGCCGCGGUAAUACGGGGGGAGCAAGCGUUGUUCGGAAUUACUGGGCGUAAAGGGUGUCUAGGCGGCCUUGUAAGUCGGGGGUGAAAUCCACUGGCUCAACCAGUGACGUGCCUUCGAAACUGCUAGGCUUGAGUAUGGCAGAGGAGAGCGGAAUUCCAGGUGUAGCGGUGAAAUGCGUAGAUAUCUGGAAGAACACCGGUGGCGUAGGCGGCUCUCUGGGCCAAUACUGACGCUGAAGCACGAAAGCCAGGGGAGCAAACGGGAUUAGAUACCCUCGUAGUCC
rnacentral:rRNA from 1 species